UUACGGACUUCACCCCAGUCAGGGACCCCGCCGGGGUAAGGGCCCUCCUUGGGGUUAGGCUACCUACUUCUGGGGGAACCCGCUCCCAUGGGGUGACGGGGGGGGUGUACAAGACCCGGGAAGGUAUUCACCGGGGCAUGCUGACCCGGGAUUACUGGGGAUUCCGACUUGAUGGGGUGGGGUUAGAGACUGAGGCCCGACUAGGGACCCCUUUUCUGGGAUUGGCUCCCCCUGGGGGGGUUGGCUGGCCCUCUGUACCGGCCAUUGUAUGAGGGGGGUAGGCCUACCCAUAAGGGGCAUGGGGGCUUGACGGGCAUGCCACCUUGCUGCCGUUUGUCACCCGGAGUCCCAUUAGGGUGGCCUAU
rnacentral:rRNA from 1 species